CCCCGAAGACAGCAUCUUCUCCAGGGGCCUCGGGGAUGGAUUUGAUACUGAGGGGACAGAAAGUGCAUCUGUGGUCCUCAGAUCUGCAAUCCUGUGCUAAGCACAGAGUACACAUGCAUGCCACAGUGUAAGAUGAAAGGAAGAGCGAACGCCAAAGGACGAAGCCAGACUCUCAAGAGUGCCUGGAGAGCUGAGCUUUCUGCCUACAGCCCUACACCCUGGAGCCAGCUUGGUCUGAAACAUCUCCAUCCAGUCUGGCUUUUCUCAUCUCCCUGGCUCAGUCUCUCAUCCAUCUCUCUUCUUCUGUUCCCCCAGGGACUAACCUUCAUCAAACCAUCAAAACUAUGAGGAGAAGUUUGGGCAGAUCUCACAUCAUCGCGAGCAAGUGAAGGGCUGGAAACCAUUGGAGGUGAAUAGAUACCUUGGGAAAGUCCAUUCUAAGGAAGACAGAGGAGAGCACAGGACAAAACAAUGACACCAUUGCUAUCAACUGUCAUGUAUCCACUUAUCUUCUCUGUUGGAUCUUGGUGUUUCAGACUCGAAGUCAUCAUGUAUGAGUCAAAUGCCACCGGUGGUCAUCAUCAACCAAGAUUAGUUCUCCUUUUCUUAAAAUAUUUACACUAUCGCUAUUAAUUACUUAAUUAUCAUAAACCCUAUGCUUAGAAACUACCAACC
rnacentral:lncRNA from 1 species